rnacentral:rRNA from 1 species
GGCACUACGGUGCUGAAGUAACAAAUGCCCUGCUUCCAGGAAAAGCCUCUAAGCAUCAGGUAACAUCAAAUCGUACCCCAAACCGACACAGGUGGUCAGUUU